rnacentral:rRNA from 1 species
CAAGAUGAGAUUUCCCAACUUCGGUUAUAAGAUCCCUCAAAGAUGAUGAGGUUAAUAGGUUCGAGGUGGAAGCAUGGUGACAUGUGGAGCUGACGAAUACUAAUCGAUCGAAGACUUAAUCAAAUU